GGACAAUGGGGGAAACCCUGAUUCAGCAAUGCCGCGUGAGUGAAGAAGGCCUUAGGGUUGUAAAGCUCUUUCGCCCGCGCAGAUAAUGACGGUAGCGGGAGAAGAAGCCCCGGCUAACUCCGUGCCAGCAGCCGCGGUAAUACGGAGGGGGCUAGCGUUGUUCGGAGUUACUGGGCGUAAAGCGUACGUAGGCGGAUGCGCAAGUUGGGGGUGAAAUCCCGGGGCUUAACCUCGGAAUUGCCCUCAAAACUGCACGUCUUGAGACCGAGAGAAGUAAGGGGAAUUCCUAGUGUAGAGGUGAAGUUCGUAGAUAGUAGGAAGAACACCAGUGGCGAAGGCGCCUUACUGGCUCGGUACUGACGCUGAGGUACGAAAGCGU
rnacentral:rRNA from 1 species